rnacentral:rRNA from 1 species
GACGAACGCUGGCGGCGUGCUUAACACAUGCAAGUCGAACGGAAAGGCCCUGCUUUUGUGGGAUGCUCGAGUGGCGAACGGGUGAGUAACACGUGAGUAACCUGCCCUUGACUUUGGGAUAACUUCAGGAAACUGGGGCUAAUACCGGAUAGGAGCUCCUGCUGCAUGGUGGGGGUUGGAAAGUUUCGGCGGUUGGGGAUGGACUCGCGGCUUAUCAGCUUGUUGGUGGGGUAGUGGCUUACCAAGGCUUUGACGGGUAGCCGGCCUGAGAGGGUGACCGGCCACAUUGGGACUGAGAGACGGCCCAGACUCCUACGGGAGGCAGCAGUGGGGAAUAUUGCACAAUGGGCGGAAGCCUGAUGCAGCAACGCCGCGUGCGGGAUGACGGCCUUCGGGUUGUAAACCGCUUUCGCCUGUGACGAAGCGUGAGUGACGGUAAUGGGUAAAGAAGCACCGGCUAACUACGUG